ACUCCUACGGGAGGCAGCAGUGGGGAAUAUUGCACAAUGGGCGCAAGCCUGAUGCAGCCAUGCCGCGUGUAUGAAGAAGGCCUUCGGGUUGUAAAGUACUUUCAGCAGUGAGGAAGGUGGAUAUGUUAAUAGCAUAUUCUAUUUGUACGUUAGCUGCAGAAGAAGCACCGGCUAACUCCGUGCCAGCAGCCGCGGUAAUACGGAGGGUGCGAGCGUUAAUCGGAAUUACGUGGCGUAAAGCGCAUGCAGGUGGUUUGUUAAGUCAGAUGUGAAAGCCCGGGCUCAACCUCGGAAUUGCAUUUGAAACUGGCAAACUAGAGUACUGUAGAGGGGGUAGAAUUUCAGGUGUAGCGGUGAAAUGCGUAGAGAUCGUAGAA
rnacentral:rRNA from 1 species